GCCCUUAUAGUUCAGUCUGGAUAGAAUGUGACCUUGCGGAGGUUAAGACCGAGGUUCAAAUCCUCGUAGGGGCA
rnacentral:tRNA from 1 species